UGAGGAAUAUUGGUCAAUGGACGAGAGUCUGAACCAGCCAAGUAGCGUGAAGGAUGACUGCCCUAUGGGUUGUAAACUUCUUUUAUACGGGAAUAAAGUGAGGUACGUGUGCCUUUUUGUAUGUACCGUAUGAAUAAGGAUCGGCUAACUCCGUGCCAGCAGCCGCGGUAAUACGGAGGAUCCGAGCGUUAUCCGGAUUUAUUGGGUUUAAAGGGAGCGUAGGCGGACGCUUAAGUCAGUUGUGAAAGUUUGCGGCUCAACCGUAAAAUUGCAGUUGAUACUGGGUGUCUUGAGUACAGUAGAGGCAGGCGGAAUUCGUGGUGUAGCGGUGAAAUGCUUAGAUAUCACGAAGAACUCCGAUUGCGAAGGCAGCCUGCUGGACUGUAACUGACGCUGAUGCUCGAAAGUGUGGGUAUCAAACAGGAUUAGAUACCCUGGUAGUCCACACAGUAAACGAUGAAUACUCGCUGUUUACGAUAUACAGUAAGCGGCCAAGCGAAAGCGUUAAGUAUUCCACCUGGGGAGUACGCCGGCAACGGUGAAACUCAAAGGAAUUGACGGGGGCCCGCACAAGCGGAGGAACAUGUGGUUUAAUUCGAUGAUACGCGAGGAACCUUACCCGGGCUUGAAUUGCAACUGAAUGAUGUGGAGACAUGUCAGCCGCAAGGCAGUUGUGAAGGUGCUGCAUGGUUGUCGUCAGCUCGUGCCGUGAGGUGUCGGCUUAAGUGCCAUAACGAGCGCAACCCUUAUCGAUAGUUACCAUCAGGUUAUGCUGGGGACUCUGUCGAGACUGCCGUCGUAAGAUGUGAGGAAGGUGGGGAUGACGUCAAAUCAGCACGGCCCUUACGUCCGGGGCUACACACGUGUUACAAUGGGGGGUACAGAAGGCAGCUACACGGCGACGUGAUGCUAAUCCCGAAAGCCUCUCUCAGUUCGGAUUGGAGUCUGCAACCCGACUCCAUGAAGCUGGAUUCGCUAGUAAUCGCGCAUCAGCCACGGCGCGGUGAAUACGUUCCC
rnacentral:rRNA from 2 species